CAAUAGCGUAUAUUAAAGUUGUUGCAGUUAAAAGCUCGUAGUUGGAUUUCUGUCUAAAGCGGCCGGUCCGCCCAUUGGGUGUGCAUCUGGUUCGUUUUUGGCAUCUUUCAGACUAGCUGUGAUGCACUUGACUGUGUGUCCUGGUGGCCUGAUCUUUUACUUUGAGGAAAUUAGAGUGUUUCACGCAGGCAUACGCCUUGAAUAUAGUAGCAUGGAAUAAUGACUUAGGACCUCAGUUCUAACUUGUUGGUUUUUGGGACAGAGGUAAUGAUUAAUAGGGAUAGUUGGGGGCAUUCGUAUUUAACUGUCAGAGGUGAAAUUCUUGGAUUCGUUAAAGACGGACUACUGCGAAAGCAUUUGCCAAGGAUGUUUUCAUUGAUCAAGAACGAAAGUUAGGGGAUCGAAGACGAUUAGAUACCGU
rnacentral:rRNA from 1 species